AUUGAACGCUGGCGGCAUGCUUUACACAUGCAAGUCGAACGGUAACAGGCCGCAAGGUGCUGACGAGUGGCGAACGGGUGAGUAAUGCAUCGGAACGUGCCCAGUCGUGGGGGAUAACUACUCGAAAGAGUAGCUAAUACCGCAUACGAUCUAUGGAUGAAAGCGGGGGACCGUAAGGCCUCGCGCGAUUGGAGCGGCCGAUGUCAGAUUAGGUAGUUGGUGGGGUAAAGGCUCACCAAGCCAACGAUCUGUAGCUGGUCUGAGAGGACGACCAGCCACACUGGGACUGAGACACGGCCCAGACUCCUACGGGAGGCAGCAGUGGGGAAUUUUGGACAAUGGGGGCAAGCCUGAUCCAGCAAUGCCGCGUGCAGGAAGAAGGCCUUCGGGUUGGAAACUGCUUUUGUACGGAACGAAACGGCUCUGGUUAAUACCCGGGGCUAAUGACGGUACCGUAAGAAUAAGCACCGGCUAACUACGUG
rnacentral:rRNA from 1 species